CCCGAAGUAUCCUGAAUCUUUCGCAUUGUUAAUCAUACAAGUGCAUAUAAUAAACAUAAAAAUCAAUGAUAAUUAUGCCAUUAUAUAAUUCCGAAAAAUUAACGCACUGUAUUCAUAUAAAUCUAUCAGCACUUUAUCAAAUUUAUAACAUUUAUUUUAUGUUAAAGCGCGAACACAAUAAUUAAAAUAAACUAUAAGUUAUAAUUUUUUGAUAAAUUGGAAUAUGCUAAUAAAUUACAAUGUCCUUAUAUGGAAAAAAUGCACACUAUUUCUAUAAUAUUUAUAAAAUAUUAUGGAUCUAAUGAUGAAUUUUCCAUAACGGAUAUUCAGGUUCAUCGGGC
rnacentral:rRNA from 1 species